rnacentral:misc_RNA from 1 species
AUAAAGAAUGAGAAGAGUAGGUUACUGGAACGUUUAAGGGAGUGAUGUCGUCGACUGCAAAUCAUCACACGGAAAAGUUAUUGAAGUUCACCUCGUUCUAAUUUAAAAUAGUCUUUAAUUAAGUGAUAAAAUAGGAUGGUACCGCGGUUUUCGCUCCUUUG